UAGUGGCGAACGGGUGAGUAACACGUGGGCAAUCUGCCCUGCACUCUGGGACAAGCCCUGGAAACGGGGUCUAAUACCGGAUAAUACCUGCUGAGGCAUCUUGGCGGGUUGAAAGCUCCGGCGGUGCAGGAUGAGCCCGCGGCCUAUCAGCUUGUUGGUGGGGUGAUGGCCUACCAAGGCGACGACGGGUAGCCGGCCUGAGAGGGCGACCGGCCACACUGGGACUGAGACACGGCCCAGACUCCUACGGGAGGCAGCAGUGGGGAAUAUUGCACAAUGGGCGAAAGCCUGAUGCAGCGACGCCGCGUGAGGGAUGACGGCCUUCGGGUUGUAAACCUCUUUCAGCAGGGAAGAAGCGCAAGUGACGGUACCUGCAGAAGAAGCACCGGCUAACUACGUGCCAGCAGCCGCGGUAAUACGUAGGGUGCGAGCGUUGUCCGGAAUUAUUGGGCGUAAAGAGCUCGUAGGCGGUCUGUCGCGUCGGAUGUGAAAGCCCGGGGCUUAACUCCGGGUCUGCAUUCG
rnacentral:rRNA from 1 species